AUGUCAGAGGCUGUGUGCCUUCAGGUGGAGCAGGGCACCACCUGGGGGCCAACAUAACAUCUUAAAGACCUCCUUGGGCCCAGGUGUGCAACUCAGGCCCUCCCAAGGUGUGGCAAGUCUGCACCCUUACAGAAGGAGGAGCUGUGCCAGGAAGGCCAGUGAGCACCUUGGGGACUGAUGGGAGCACUUCUCUGCUCUGAACUGCCACAGGGUCUGGAACCUGAUGGAGGUGACAUGGUUAACCAGGAAGCAGGAGGUGGACUGAUUGGAGCCAGGGGCCAGGCCUGGGCAGAGGAGAGUUAAUGUGGCUACUGAAGAGGCUGGGAGAGAAAGAAAGAACCACCUUCUUGGUUUCAAUGAAAAUUCUAAUAAAAUUGAAGAAAACCAAAGAUUGUUGUUAUUUU